rnacentral:rRNA from 1 species
GACGAACGCUGGCGGCGUGCCUAAUACAUGCAAGUUGAGCGCUGAAGGUUGGUACUUGUACCCACUGGAUGAGCAGCGAACGGGUGAGUAACGCGUGGGGAAUCUGCCUUUGAGCGGGGGACAACAUUUGGAAACGAAUGCUAAUACCGCAUAAAAACUUUAAACACAAGUUUUAAGUUUGAAAGAUGCAAUUGCAUCACUCAAAGAUGAUCCCGCGUUGUAUUAGCUAGUUGGUGAGGUAAAGACUCACCAAGGCGAUGAUACAUAGCCGACCUGAGAGGGUGAUCGGCCAAAUUGGGACUGAGACACGGCCCAAACUCCUACGGGAGGCAGCAGUAGGGAAUCUUCGGCGAUGGAAGAAAGUCUGACCGAGCAACGCCGCGUGAGUGAAGAAGGUUUUCGGAUCGUAAAACUCUGUUGGUAGAGAAGAACGUUGGUGAGAGUGGAAAGCUCAUCAAGUGACGGUAACUACCCAGAAAGGGACGGCUAACUACGUG